GUAUACGUGUAUUUGUUACCUGCCUCACAUGCAGGGGGUCGCUGGUUCGAAUCCAGCUGUCUCCACCA
rnacentral:tRNA from 1 species